rnacentral:rRNA from 1 species
CCUACGGGUGGCUGCAGUGGGGAAUAUUGGACAAUGGGGGGAACCCUGAUCCAGCCAUGCCGCGUGUGUGAAGAAGGCCCUCGGGUUGUAAAGCACUUUCAGUGAGGAAGAACGCCUGGUGGUUAAUACCCAUCAGGAAAGACAUCACUCACAGAAGAAGCACCGGCUAACUCCGUGCCGGCAGCCGCGGUAAUACGGAGGGUGCGAGCGUUAAUCGGAAUUACUGGGCGUAAAGCGCGCGUAGGUGGCUUGAUAAGCCGGUUGUGAAAGCCCCGGGCUCAACCUGGGAACGGCAUCCGGAACUGUCAAGCUAGAGUGCAGGAGAGGAAGGUAGAAUUCCCGGUGUAGCGGUGAAAUGCGUAGAGAUCGGGAGGAAUACCAGUGGCGAAGGCGGCCUUCUGGACUGACACUGACACUGAGGUGCGAAAGCGUGGGUAGCAAACAGGAUUAGAUACCCCUGUAGUC